GAUGAACGCUGGCGGCGUGCCUAAUACAUGCAAGUCGAGCGAACGGACGAGAAGCUUGCUUUUCUGAUGUUAGCGGCGGACGGGUGAGUAACACGUGGAUAACCUACCUAUAAGACUGGGAUAACUUCGGGAAACCGGAGCUAAUACCGGAUAAUAUUUUGAACCGCAUGGUUCAAAAGUGAAAGACGGUCUUGCUGUCACUUAUAGAUGGAUCCGCGCUGCAUUAGCUAGUUGGUAAGGUAACGGCUUACCAAGGCGACGAUGCAUAGCCGACCUGAGAGGGUGAUCGGCCACACUGGAACUGAGACACGGUCCAGACUCCUACGGGAGGCAGCAGUAGGGAAUCUUCCGCAAUGGUCGAAAGCCUGACGGAGCAACGCCGCGUGAGUGAUGAAGGUCUUCGGAUCGUAAAACUCUGUUAUUAGGUAAGAACAUAUGUGUAAGUAACUGUACACAUCUUGACGGUACCUAAUCAGAAAGCCACGGCUAACUACGUG
rnacentral:rRNA from 1 species